UGGGGAAUAUUGCACAAUGGAGGGAACUCUGAUGCAGCGACGCCGCGUGAACGAAGAAUGCUUUCGAGACGUAAAUUUCUUUUAUAUGGGAAGAUAAUGACGGUACCAUAAGAAGAAGCCCCGGCUAACUACGUGCCAGCAGCCGCGGUAAUACGUAGGGGGCUAGCGUUGUCCGGAAUCACUGGGCGUAAAGGGUUCGCAGGCGGAAAUGCAAGUCAGGUGUAAAAGGCAGUAGCUUAACUACUGUAAGCAUUUGAAACUGAAUAUCUUGAGAAGAGUAGAGGUAAGUGGAAUUUUUAGUGUAGCGGUGAAAUGCGUAGAUAUUAAAAAGAAUACCGGUGGCGAAGGCGACUUACUGGGCUCAUUCUGACGCUGAGGAACGAAAGCGUGGGUAGCAAACAGG
rnacentral:rRNA from 1 species